CGGGUGCCGGCCGGCGGGGCCCGGCGCGCCUGGGACGCGGGCAGGGACGGACGGGCAGUCAUCGACCGGAUCUGCUCCGCGGCACCUGCCC
rnacentral:tRNA from 1 species